rnacentral:rRNA from 1 species
GAUGAACGCUGGCGGCGUGCUUAACACAUGCAAGUCGAACGGAAAGGCUCCUGCUUGCAGGGGUACUCGAGUGGCGAACGGGUGAGUAACACGUGGGUGAUCUGCCCUGCACUUCGGGAUAAGCCUGGGAAACUGGGUCUAAUACCGGAUAGGACGAUGGUUUGGAUGCCAUUGUGGAAAGUUUUUUCGGUGUGGGAUGAGCUCGCGGCCUAUCAGCUUGUUGGUGGGGUAAUGGCCUACCAAGGCGUCGACGGGUAGCCGGCCUGAGAGGGUGUACGGCCACAUUGGGACUGAGAUACGGCCCAGACUCCUACGGGAGGCAGCAGUGGGGAAUAUUGCACAAUGGGCGCAAGCCUGAUGCAGCGACGCCGCGUGGGGGAGGACGGCCUUCGGGUUGUAAACUCCUUUCGCUAGGGACGAAGCGCAAGUGACGGUACCUGGAGAAGAAGCACCGGCUAACUACGU